rnacentral:rRNA from 1 species
CACGUAGGGGGCGAGCGUUGUCCGGAUUUAUUGGGCGUAAAGAGCUCGUAGGCGGCUCGGUAAGUCGGGUGUGAAACCUCCAGGCUCAACCUGGAGACGCCACCCGAUACUGCCGUGGCUAGAGUCCGGUAGAGGAGCGUAGAAUUCCUGGUGUAGCGGUGAAAUGCGCAGAUAUCAGGAGGAACACCCGUGGCGAAGGCGGCUCUCUGGGACGGUACUGACGCUGAGACGCGAAAGCGUGGGGAGCGAACAGG